GGGUGUUCUCAGCUGUAGCACCCCAGAAUCAGGCUCCCUUCUCUCUGGUUCCCGGUGCGUCACCUGAGAACCGCA
rfam:Myotis davidii contig75034, whole genome shotgun sequence.